rnacentral:lncRNA from 1 species
AACUGAUAUUUCAGCGACAUCCCAAAUCCAGGUCUUUCCCAUCAAAAGGAUCAUCUUUACAUUGCAAAACAUGGAAUAAAACGUCCAACUCACCCAUCACAGACAUCUACGUGCACUUUAAUGCUUUUCUGUCAGAUCAGUAUCUAACCUCAGCGCCUUCAUAAACAUCAAAGCUAUACCACCAUAUUCAUAAAUGUCUUUUUCAUCUUGAAAACGGUCACACGCUCCAGUUAUGAUCAUGUGAUGCCUAAGACGGAUGACGAGCUAGUAAUUAAAGCCGGACUAGCAAGUUUCUAGGUUGACAAGCUUUCGAAGGAGUGCAUGUAUGAUACCUUAACAAAUUCUACGAUAUAAAGAAAGAAAAGUGAAGUGUUAUAUAAAAUAGAACAUAAACUUACAUGUUAUGAUCGCUUAUGUGCUUGAUGUAGCCUAGUAGAUAAAUUGCUGGGGUCUAUUGGACCAAUACGUACAAUAAACUUGGGAUAUGACAGUUAUGGUAUCAAAAUCAAACACGUGCAGCAUGAUGAUAGGACAAACCUCAACUUGAGUCCCUAAGAGGGGUGCAUUACACGCUCAUGAUCGCAGAUGGUAGGCUGAUAAGAGUAUGCUGAUAAAAGGGGGUCAAGGAAACUUCUAGGUUGGCGAGCUUCUAAUAGAGUAGGAAUGCAUAUGACACCUGAUAAAACGAAUCUCACACCAAAAAAAGAAGAGAAAAGUGAAGUGUUACAUACGACAAAGCGCAGGUUCACAUAGUAUACAUGACUUUUGAGCUAGAUUCUUGUACGUGACCCAAGAGACAAAUCCAUAAAACUGUUGAACCAAAAUGAAAAAUACAUAUCAUGAGCUUGAGUUGCGACAAGAAAGCUACAUUUUUGUGCAUCAAUGAACCGCAAUAUUGAAGUUUAAAAAAUUCUGACUAAAUUUGUUACUUCACCAACCUGGGCUUUACCCGUGAAUGUUAGAUAAUUAGUUUGAAAACACAAGGACUUUGGACGAUCUUUGACUAAUGUUUGUCUAAGACAUGUCGAAUCAUGCUUGUUGAUUGGGAAAACAAAUAUAGAACAUACAUGGGGCGGCGCUUGAGAAAAAUUUAGGUGACUUGGAAGAAGGGCGAUCUGCUUCUCCACCACAUACUUCUAAAUAGUUGUCACAGAUGUUACUAUCAGUAUUUGGAGUAACAAUUUAGGAACAUAACUUAUUCCAAACACGGAUAGUAACAUCUCUGAAAAAAUUAGUAACAAAGUUAGGAUUUGAAGUUUAUGGAUUUGAUAUUUUAGCCAUUUUAGGUUACUGGACUUUAAAUUAAUUUAUACAUAAUGAAUAAAUUGUUUGAAAUAAAUACAGAGAUUGAACUCAGCCAAACCCGUAACUCGUACUCUAGCUCCGCCCGGACAACAUGGUUUCUGCAAUAAUAAAUACCUUUAUUACGUAUAAGCUAAUUAUUCUAUAAAGUUAUACCAAAUUCGAUGUGGCAUAUAACUUUGUAUAAGCACGUAAAAUGACAAAUGGCCAUCACAAUAUUGCAUGGUUGAUUAUAUGAUCUUAUUUGUUCCUGAUAGUUUCCACAAUAUUUUUUCUUUUGAAGAGUCUACAAAACUGCAGCAACGUGGAACCAGAUUAUAAAUCGUAAAAACAAAUUUACAUUUUAAAAACCUUACAUCACAUCUGACAAGCAGUCCAAUGAAUAGAUUAUUAGAAUGCAUUCGAAAUUCGGCAACACGGUGAGCGAAUAGCUCAGGGAUUAGAAAGACUGCAGUGAUUUUGUCAUACAACGUUUUCAGAUGAAUAAUGUGAUACCAAUCCAACUAUGAGUGCUUCUUCAAGCACCAUCUUUUAAGUGACAUUAUUAUAUUUUUGUUACCAGAAAAAGAAUGAUGUGAAAUGAGUAAUGAAAAUUAUGAGUAAUAUGUUUUUAGUACUAGAGACACAUUUAUUGGAAGCUAGAGAAGUUGAUUUGAGUUCCUCUAACCAAACAUUAAAUAAGAACAUUCACAAGCCUAGAUAAUCCUACUGCAACAGCUAACUCUGUCCUGGUAGAAACCUAAUCUUCAGAUACAAUUGCCCUUCCUCAACCUACCCAAGACAUCUAAGUCUCAGUAUUAUGAUUGCAGAAUCACUACAGUCUACAGAGCAUAGAUAUCAUUCAAACAAAACUGCCAAAGAUACACAAAUACAUGUAUUUAUCUCACAUGAGAAGCAAACCUCGAUCUAUAUACUUCUGCUUCGAUUUAGAAUUGGAUCCUUUGGAGAAGGUCUGUUCACGUCCCCAUGCAUGCUCUCUGCAAUAUGUAAUUUUGAGACUUAGAAAUUGUCAUGGUUCCAAAAACCAAGUCUACAUACACAAUGCCAGUGCAGGAUUGGAGCAUAUGAUGCAGAAGUUUCAGGGAAAAUGAGAACAAUAGAGCGAUAUCUAAGCGAGCAAAUGCAAGAAUGUCGUUUGUGAACCCUGUUUCAUUGAUGGAAUAGAAUCUCUAUCAAAAAAUAGUCAUCAUCAGUAAUAACUUGCUAAGACAAGGAUAAUAAGAACUUGUACAAAGGGAGUUUCUUCUCCAUCAAACAAUUCUCAUCAAGAAGAACUUGUACAAAUGCGAGCUAACAAGAUGGAUAAGCAUUUAAAUUCAAUCAGUCACAUCCUAAUACCACAAGAAUAACAGGUGAAACAAAUGAGUGUCUUUAGCAAAUAUCGCACGUCAUACCAAACACGGGAUAUCAAUUUUUACAAGGCACUAUCGAUCAGAGAUGACAGCCAUAACUACAAUUCUGAUCACUCCUUGCAAUCAUUAUCGACCAUUAUGGGAGAACAGAAAUAAGUACAAGUAUCUGAUGAAUGCUUGCAGGCUGCAGCCUUCAUCAAAUCAUUAUGCUAGGACAGAAGAAAGUAAAGGCUGAGAUUAGAUGGUAAGAAAUAGACUAAAAGCUCAGUCAGUCACUGAGAAAUCCACAUCAUUGCACAUAAUGUUGAGUCUUAGGAUUUUCAAGUUGAUGCUAGAUGCUAAUUGAGUUGAAUUCUGGGUGAGUGACUUGCAUUAUACACAAUGUUGAUGAAGGUGUUAAAGGGGACAAGGUACAUCUAAGGUACAUGGAGGAAUGGAACACAAUGGAAGUAGAGAGUUCACAUAGGUGAUACCAAACUAACAUUUACAUUGUGUCCAGAUGAUUGCCUUGAGUCAUUUUAGGUGGUUAGAAAUUUGUAUCUCAGUGUAGGAAUAAGCCUAAGAUUUAGAUAAAUCACUAGUUUUAGAUAACACUAAUAUAUUAUAAAACACACAUUAUUAAGUAUCAUGGUCAGACUAACCUGAACAGCGGGGAAUGGAUAUAAAAGAUUCAUACAGCCAACCCCAAGUAGUAGUAGUAGUUUCCCCAAAGACAACUUUCUUAUAGCCUGUUUGGCCAAGCUUCUUUUUAGCCAAAAGUGCUUUUUUGGGGCCAAAAGCACUUUUGGCCAAAAAUUGAGGUGUUUGGCCAAGCUUUUGGAAGGAAAAAAAGUGCUUUCAAGCAGUUUUGGAGAAGCAGAAAAAGUAGCUUCUCCNNNNNNNNNNNNNNNNNNNNNNNNNUAAUUGCUGCUCAGAAGUGCUUGUCAAACUAAUUAGUCAAACACAAACUGCUUCUCACCAAAAGUACUUUUGAGAAAGGCACUUCUCAAAAUAAGCUGAUUUUUACAGCUGGGCCAAACGGGCUAUUAUAAUAGCUUCUUUUUUAAAUCAAGUUCUUCAUGAUAGCUUAUUGAGUUGCAUGCAAUGGUACUCCUAGCAAUUUCUGGACAGGAUUCACAAAGAGUAAAGAGAUCAAGGAACCCUAUUUAGACCAAACCAUCGAUUUUCCAAAGAAAUUUUCAAGUUUUAAAUUAAUUGCCCUUCCAGCAACAUACUGCUAGUAUAUCUGUGUACCAAUAGAAGCACAACUUUUCCAAUAUGACUAAUUUCAUUCACUUCCUCUCAGAUGUCUAAGAAGACGGUUAUUAGAAGCAUAUUUAAGGCAGUGUUUCUAAAAGCAAAAAGCGACAAGGUCCAUGAGGCUUGAAUCGUAAAGCAGAAGUAACGGGUGAGCUUUUUUGAAGAGAAGCACAUAAUUUAUUGAUAAUUAAAAACUACCAAACAUAUAUGAAUUUAGCAGUGGUCGACGCACAUCGUGGCAAGCGGGUUCAACUAACCGCUUUAUCAAAAAAUAAUACUCCGUGUAUAUGUAUAAAUUACGAUUAAAACUGUGUAAAUUUUGUAUAAAUAUUUUAUUUGAACCCACUUGACAACUACUAUUUUACGACUAAGGUGAUGUACUUCUAAGUUUGAACGCGCUUGCACAAAAUUCCGGGUCCGCCUCUGGUAUUUAGUACUAUUAAAAUCAAAUUACAAUUGAAAAACUAAUUUCAGAAUUCAAUACACGAUGAUGCACAUCAGUCUAAUUCCUCAAAGUCAGUUUCAAAGAACCGACAUUUUCUCAUUCGGAUCAAUGUGCCGAUGUGUGCAUCAUUUUUUGAAGCGCACAUUUCUUUGAAACGCAUGAUUUCAACUAUGAAGCGAUGAUUCCUAGCUAGCAGUGCUUCAUUGCCUUUAGCAACGAACCAAAGGCUUUUAACAACACUGAUUUAACGAAUACUGAAGUUCUAGAAGUUAGGACAUAAAGUGGGAUUAUGUAUCGCAUCUUUCAGCCUUCAUAAGCAGGACGAACACACUUUAUAUCCUAAAUAAGAUAACUCAAGUAGUAAUUAGUAAGAAUCUCAAAUUGUCUACUAAUCUAACAGAAAUGCAAACUAUGAACUAGGAAAAGGAAAAUGAGAGUAGCAAAUAUAUCUGACACCAGCAUCACAGCUAAGUCUUGGUCUCCGUAACAAGCAAAUUAGUCAUUGUAAGUCAGUCAUAAACAUUCAUCACCCCACCCCACCACCACCACCCACCACCCCCACCCCAUACCUAAAGGGAUAAAGAACAACAUUAAGCUAUUAGCUAAAUUAAAAUCCCUUACUUGUGAUCAAUGAAACAAAUAAAAAAAGUUAAAAAGGAAAAACAUUACCGAGAAGAAACAGCAAAAGCAGGAAAGCUUACCUCCUAGAUAGGUAGUAACUCUCCAGAAAGUCCAGUACUUGAUUUGCAAAUGCUGAAACCAAUCUUCUCAAUGAAGCCUCCAAAGCCACUGCCAUUUUACCAUUCUCCGAAUGGUUUAAAGACCAGAUUUCGACGACUUAAUCGCCACUAAAAAGUCUUGCAUUUUUUAGCAGAGAGAAAAGUAAAACCCCCUUUUUCAAAAAUAUAUUAGUAAAUCGAAG